UGCUGGUGUGCUGUAUCUUGAUAUGCCAUUGUAACUUAACUAUUUGCUUGAGCCCUACAGUGAUUAAAUCUGCAUUUAGUAGUCUAAUCUGGUCCUUGUUAUUUCAGAUUGCUGUAUUUUGCCCUAGAAAGUUUUCAAGUUCACCUGUAAACAGUUCUGCAAGAGGAGAGCUUUCUGCUGAGCCACGCACACACAGUCUCAUUUUAUUGCUGAGAAAGGAGAAUGCUAGUCACCAUAUUCCUGCACUGGUAAAAGGACUGAUGAAUGAACUGGCAAAGCAAGGGCUCUUGGUGACAAGCAGAGCAACCUGCCUGCCACUGCUGGGCUGGAUCCCUCUGUGUGCUUUCAUGUGGCUCCUUACACCGAGACCUUGCUGCAGGCACUGGGAGGAAACCUCAGUGCAGUGCCAGACCCCUGUAACAUUCCUCUGUAUCUUUUCUGCAAUCGAAUAUAUGCCUCUGAACCUGAAAUGGAGCAGGUUGUCAUGCUGACACUGAUCGGAGUGGAUGCUCUGAAGAGUGCUGGAGAGCUUCUUUGCCAGAUCCUUCUUCCUGGGAGCAGUAACCAGUCUCAGAAUGCAGAAGGACCUGAUUCAGGAUUCGAACUUCUAGGUCUCAAAUGGUUGCCCUAUCUCACUCGAUGUCAGGCAAAAGAAAUAACCCCUUUUGAGGUUGGAGAUACUUCCUGGCAAAGAAGCCUCGAUAGACUCAUGUCAAACCCAGUCCUUGUGUGUGCAUUACGGCGGAUCAAUGCCUUCGAAGUUCUUGCAGACACACUGGAACUAUUAACACAGCACAGGGAGGAGCUAAGCAAAAGUGGGAGUGCUCUACAGAGAGUAAUGGCCUUGACCCCAGAGAUGACGUUCAGACAAGCCGUCCUCUUCUUCACAGAGAAGGAUUUUGUAACUAAUGCAGAGUACCGCCCUGCUACAAAAUACCUGCCACCACCUAGAAAAAAAUCCAGGGCUGAAGCAGAAAAGAGCCAGAGAUGCCGUGAAGAAUCACUGUUUACCUACUUGCAAACAGGAGCUCAGAUCCUUUGCACAGUGCUGCUGAUCAAACCUGGUGCCUGGAGCCAUCGUCUUGCAAGGAUCCUCCAAAAAAUAGGCCUAGA
rnacentral:lncRNA from 1 species